rnacentral:misc_RNA from 1 species
CUUGGCUCAUCGUCGGACUCAUUGUCUUUCCUGCGCAAUCGCAGUCACAGCAGCCGCCGAGACAUGGACAGAAAUAAAGAGGCUCCUAAGAUCCGUAAGAAGAUCAAUAAGUCCAACUCGAAACGACACUAUCAAUAAGUCCAACCCGAAACGACACCGUAGAUGCCUCCACCCGCUCCUCGGAUUCUAAUGAUUCCUCUUCUGAUUCUUACUCCUCAAGCUCAAGCUCGGGUUUGUCCUGGCAAAGAGAGCCAUAUUUACAAGCAGCAGGAUGAAAGAAGAAUUUGCCCUGUACAGCUUUCUAAGGUAUAUCUGUUCUAGAAUUUUUAUCUGCACUUUCUAUUUUUAUAUUUUUGCAUUUGAAUAACAUUUAUUAUUUGCUUUUUCACAAUUUUUGGGCAUGACGAGGAUGAUGGUGCACGUCAAAGUGCAGUUUCUGGAAAUAAAGUGAGUUUAUUCUUUUACGUAUGCUGUAAAGCUUAGAAUUUUCUUGACAGAUGUUUUAGGUACUUGUAGCCAGCCGUUCAUUAUCAUUUUUUUUACCUUGUAGAUCUUACUGAAACUAGAGAAAUCAAAGAAGGAUAAGGAGGCAGAAAAUAAAAGGAAUCAAUUGCUGAAAUUCUUGAAUGCUAGUUUUGAUUGAUCUAGAGGAGCUCAACCAGUGAAUGAAGAGCACCAUCUUCUCGGCUGAAAGAUACAAUGGUGGUUGUGAGAGACAAAGCUUUCUAUCAAAUUGUUAUUUCUACGGAGUCACAUUUAUCAUGGAAAUGUAAACAUUGUUAAAUAGGAGUCUUGACCUGUUGUGAUUUGUGAGUAGUGAGAAUUAGCAAGACUUCCAUAUUGGUUUGAUGCUGUAUGAAGUUGAUGCUUAUGUAAACAUUACUUUCUUUGAUGAAUUACCUUAACUUUUCUAGAUUAUUUAAGUUGUGAUAGCCUCAGCAAGCACAGAUGAUAGGCUUUUU